rnacentral:pre_miRNA from 1 species
AAUGCAAUUGCUGGGUUGUAUGGUAAGUAUAUUUCAUUUUUAAAUAAACUGCCCAACUAUUUUCCAGAGUGACUCUACCAUUUUACAUUUCCACCAGCAAC